UAUAAAUGGAGGCAGGUGAGACGCCCUUCACAAACAGCAGCCCUGCACUGGAGGAAUCGCCCUCAGCUCUCCCCAGCCCUGCAGCUGACAUCCAGGCUGUCAUCCAGCUCCUACAGCAAGGAAUCCACACUCCAGAAGCCCUGCUGAGAUGGGAAAAAUCAUCGUUUAUGAGCAUGCCAACUUCCAGGGUUUGUCCAAAGAAUUCCACACCAACAUUUCCAAUCUAAAGGAUGCUGAUUGGAAUGAUAUUGUCUCCUCAGUGAAAGUCAUUGGCCAGCCCUGGGUGGCUUAUGAGCAUGUCAACUAUGGCGGCCAAUUUCUGUUAUUUGAGGAGGGAGAAUAUAACUUUGUUGGUGAAAAGAUGAAUGAUAAGAUCAGCUCUCUGCAGGUGAUCACUGAAGAUCUGCACAACCCCCAGAUCACUCUCUAUGAACAUGUUGAUUAUCAAGGGAAGAGCAGGAUAAUAAGAGAAGCAGCCAAUCUGGCUGCAGGACAUGACAAUGACAUCAUGUCUUCCCACAAAGUCCAGAGAGGUGCCUGGCUGCUGUGUGAGCACAGUGAUGGAAGUGGAAUUCAGUACAUUGCUCGAGAACACGAACACCUUCCAAAUUACAAGGCAAUCAAUUUCAAUGACAAGCUUUCCUUCCUGCGUCCCCUUCACCCCGGCUGUGGCUGUUAGACUGCAGAUCCUGCAAUGCUGAGAAAAGAUGCAGCCCCAGCAAGAAAUGUGAGACCUUGUUCUCUGUCUCUGCUUGUGUCCCUUCCUUUGUGAUUUGCUUUACAAAGCCCUUCUGGUACCCUGGCCUCUGCCAUUCUCUGUAAUCUCUUUUAGGUUGGUGCCAAUAAAGAUUUUCUUGGAAGCAACA